CUCCACGAAUAACUUCAACAAGUUUACGCAAACAACUGGAAACUUUGUCUCAAUUUUUGAAUCUUACAGAGAGCAGCCAAGACAUACUAGCCACGUUUAUGGGUCACGAUAUACGUACACAUAGGGAAUACUAUAGACUAUCAGAAGGGACACUAGAAGUCGCAAAAGUUUCCAAGAUCCUACAUCAAUUGAAUAUGGGAAAAAUCACACAGACGGAUGCUGCACAACUUCAUGGAAACCAAACCAUAAUUGACGAGGAAACAACAGUAAGCGAUGAGGAAGCUUCAAGUGAUGAGGAUGUUGAAGAAUCCGAUGACCAGCAUGAUGAAGAAAAUAGAGGAGGUGUUCCUUUAUCUAGCUCAAAACCUGCUGUGUCUGGGUUUCAACCUCAAUAUGGAUAUCAAGGAGAAGGGUAUGACACGGAUUAUAAUGAUGAUGAUAUGGGUGAUCCAGAUUGGAUUUACAAUAAAAGAAAGCACGCUCCAGACAGUGAAGACUCGGAUGAGGACUUAAAAAGGCAAAGAAAGAAAAACAGAAAUAACAGUGGAAAAAAGAAGUGGACACCGCAGGAACAACGAGUUGUGAUGAGUGAAUUUGAAAAAUAUAUGCAUCUAAACAAAUGUCCUGGGAAGUCCGAACGCGAGAAAUUGCUAAAAGAAAACCCGUGUUUAAGUAGAAGAAGUUGGAGAAAUAUUAAAGACUUCGUUCGAAAUAAAACAAAGACAUUUAUCAAGCAUCAGGAAAAUUAAAAUGACUGAGGAAAGAACAAGAUGCUGUAGAUUUGAAUGCUGUAACUGGCAAUUUGCUAAAGUGUUUUGAUUGGAAACAAUCCAAAACUGACAAUAUCAUUAUGUAACAGUAAACAAUAUAUAACACUUUUUAACAAACAUUUGUUGAUAAGGCUGUUUGAAAUUUUGAACUAUAAAGUUAUAUUGUGAAACUAAUUUUGUCCAUGUUUCAUAUUCUGUAGGGAAAGUAUCGUUUCAGAAAUGGAGUAUGCUCAAUUAUUAAUUUUAAUAUAAAGUUAAGUCAUCACAGUCUCGUUGAAGACAUUUUAUAUACAUGUUUGGCGACUGUCAUUUUUAAUAAAACAUACAUGUAUGUUUUUUAAUUGUAUUUAUCAUUAUGCUUUAAAUAUAUCCAACAGAAUUUCAAACCCUUUUGGGUAGAUGUCUAAAAAAGCUUUUUAAUUUAUUUAAGUAAAUUAGAAGUAAAAGCAGAAGAAUUGUUGUAUUAUCCACUUUUUUAUAAUCCAAAUAUAUUGAUAGGAAAUCAAAGUUUUACCUUAAGUCAUGUUUUGAUGCUUGAAUUCACUGUAUAGGUGAUGUAUUCAAAAAUGGAACCUGUACUUCUGUAGAUAAAUUGAGUGAAAUGUACAAUUUAAAAAUACAUUUGAUUGAUUAUAAAGGGGUGACAAGAGCAAUAGAUACAUUUUUGAACAAAUAUUGUUUACCCUGUUCUACCCAACAAAUGAUAAAACCCUUUUUCCCCCAUUUUUACAUCUCAUAUUAAAAAACUAAUCAGGUGCUAAAAGACUAUAUAAUAUUGUAAAUAAGAACAAUGAACAACCUUCAGUUAAAGCAAAAUGGGGUAUAAAACUCAAUACCAUAAUUAGUGAAAAUGAAUGGAACUGCAUUUUUGAACUACUCUUUAAUUAUUUAUGUACGCUGGCAAAUGUCUUUAUUUUGAAAAUGAACCUAUUUUUGCUUUUUUAUGCUUUCUAUUCAUCUGAAUUCGCAUAUACUAAUUUCUUAUUACAAUUAAUUCAUACUUUUAAUAUGUUUAUAUACUGAAAUAUCUAG